rnacentral:rRNA from 1 species
CCUACGGGGUGCAGCAGUGAGGAAUAUUGGUCAAUGGACGAGAGUCUGAACCAGCCAAGUAGCGUGAAGGAUGACUGCCCUAUGGGUUGUAAACUUCUUUUAUAUGGGAAUAAAAUGUUCCACGUGUGGGAUUUUGUAUGUACCAUAUGAAUAAGGAUCGGCUAACUCCGUGCCAGCAGCCGCGGUAAUACGGAGGAUCCGAGCGUUAUCCGGAUUUUUUGGGUUUACAGGGUGCGUAGGUGGAUUGUUAAGUCAGUUGUGAAAGUUUGUGGCUCAACCGUAAAAUUGCAGUUGAAACUGGCAGUGUUGAGUACAGUAGAGGUGGGCGGAAUUCGUGGUGUAGCGGUGAAAUGCUUAGAUAUCACGAAGAACUCCGAUUGCGAAGGCAGUUCACUGGACUGCAACUGACACUGAGGCUCGAAAGUGUGGGUAUCAAACAGGAUUAGAUACCCUGGUAGUC